rnacentral:lncRNA from 1 species
UCUUUUCUUUAUUUCGGAGCUGGGGACCGAACCCAGGGCUUUGCGCUUGCUAGGCAAGUGCUCUACCACUGAGCUAAAUCCCCAACCCCAUAAAUUUAUUUUGAGACCGGGUCUCAUUAUACCUCUGACUGAGCUUGGUACUUUCUACGAACCAAGGCUAGUCUGGAACUCACAGGUAUCUGCUGGUCUCUGCCUCCAAAGUACCAGGAUCUGUUAUUUAUUUCUUUGAAUGUUUUUGCCUGCAUGUAUAUAUGUGUAAUGUAUAAAUGCAGUGCUCAUGGAGGUCAGAAGAGGGUACCGGAACUUCUGGAACUAGGUAAAGACAUUUGUGAGUUAUUGCAUGACACUCUAACCACUGUGCUAUCUCUGUUGCCUCUUCAGUGUUCACUGGUUUUUAAUGAAGUGUGUAUACAUAUGUCAUAGUGUGCUGUUGCUGAAAAAGGCCAGAGUUAUUGGGUGCCCCGAAACAAACUGGGUCCUGUACAACAGUAGUACUUACUUUUAAUUUCUGACACAGCUUUUCUGCUCAUUUUAGAUUUUAUUCUUAUAUUUUAAAAAAAGAUUUAUUUUUAUGCAUACCUGUACAAGUGCCAAGGAGAUUAGAAGAGGUCAAUGAAUACCCCAGAGCUAAGGUUAUAGUUAGCUGUGAAUCUCAUGGCUAUCAGUUGCCCAACAUGGGUGCUAAGAACUAA